rnacentral:rRNA from 1 species
UACGUAGGGGGGCAAGCGUUGUCCGGAUUUACUGGGCGUAAAGAGCGUGUAGGCGGCCAAGCAGGUCCGUUGUGAAAACUGGAGGCUUAACCUCCAGACGUCGACGGAAACCGCGUGGCUAGAGUCCGGAAGAGGAGAGUGGAAUUCCUGGUGUAGCGGUGAAAUGCGCAGAUAUCAGGAAGAACACCAAUGGCGAAGGCAGCUCUCUGGGACGGUACUGACGCUGAGACGCGAAAGCUAGGGGAGCGAACAGG